rnacentral:lncRNA from 1 species
CAACUUUGCAGAGCAUGAAGCCAGGAGAGACGAAGAGAGGCAGUGACGACUCUUCCUUCCCCUUCUUGAUGAGUCCCAGAUCCCAGGUCAUCAGUUGGUGCCCUCGACAUUCAAGGUGGAAGCUGAGUCACCCAAGUUGUCCGUGAGUGUUUGGCACUCUUUUGAGGUCUGUCCCACUCAUCCUGUUUCCAUCUGAAGAAAUGAAGCUGGUGACAGAUAUAGGCAGGUCUGAGAGAUGACAGA